rnacentral:rRNA from 1 species
UGCGCAGGCGGAAGAAUAAGUCAGUGGUGAAAUACUGCCGCUCAACGGUAGGGCUGCCAUUGAUACUGUUUUUCUUGAGUAUGGUUGAGGUAGGCGGAAUGUACGGUGUAGCGGUGAAAUGCAUAGAUAUCGCCCAGAACGCCGAUUGCGAAGGCAGCUUACUAAACCAUUACUGACGCUGAGGCACGAAAGCGUGGGUAGCGAACAGGAUUAGAUACCCUGGUAGUCC